rnacentral:lncRNA from 1 species
GAUUCCUUUUUUUCAAAAUUUUUCAAAUUUCAAAUUUUUGAAAAGUUUCAAGAAGAAAUAUUCAAUUGCACAGUAUUGUGCAAUAGAUUUGUUAGAUCUUUGACCACAUUAAUUUUGUGACAAAAACCCAUAUUAUGUAAAAAAUUUGAUCACAAUCCAAUUUCAGACAGUAUCAAGCUUGAAUAUUGUGACCAAAUUUGCCCCCACUGUUCAGGGUU